UACGAAGGGGGCUAGCGUUGUUCGGAUUUACUGGGCGUAAAGCGCACGUAGGCGGUUUGUUAAGUGAGAGGUGAAAUCCCAGAGCUCAACUCUGGAACUGCCUUUCAUAUUGGCAAGCUAGAGUCCGGAAGAGGUAAGUGGAACUCCUAGUGUAGAGGUGGAAUUCGUAGAUAUUAGGAAGAACACCAGUGGCGAAGGCGGCUUACUGGUCCGGAACUGACGCUGAGGUGCGAAAAGCGUGGGGGAGCAAAACAGG
rnacentral:rRNA from 1 species